rnacentral:rRNA from 1 species
AGGUAGGGGCAGCUUACACAUGCAGUCGACGAUGAUGCCCAGCUUGCUGGGUGGAUUAGUGGCGAACGGGUGAGUAACACGUGAGUAACCUGCCCUUGACUUCGGGAUAACUCCGGGAAACCGGGGCUAAUACCGGAUAUGAGCCGCCCUCGCAUGGGGGUGGUUGGAAAGUUUUUCGGUCAGGGAUGGGCUCGCGGCCUAUCAGCUUGUUGGUGGGGUGAUGGCCUACCAAGGCGACGACGGGUAGCCGGCCUGAGAGGGCGACCGGCCACACUGGGACUGAGACACGGCCCAGACUCCUACGGGAGGCAGCAGUGGGGAAUAUUGCACAAUGGGCGAAAGCCUGAUGCAGCGACGCCGCGUGAGGGAUGAAGGCCUUCGGGUUGUAAACCUCUUUCAGCAGGGAAGAAGCGCAAGUGACGGUACCUGCAGAAGAAGCGCCGGCUAACUACGUGCCAGCAGCCGCGGUAAUACGUAGGGCGCAAGCGUUGUCCGGAAUUAUUGGGCGUAAAGAGCUCGUAGGCGGUUUGUCGCGUCUGGUGUGAAAACUCGAGGCUCAACCUCGAGCUUGCAUCGGGUACGGGCAGACUAGAGUGCGGUAGGGGAGACUGGAAUUCCUGGUGUAGCGGUGGAAUGCGCAUAUAUCAGGAGGAACACCGAUGGCGAAGGCAGGUCUCUGGGCCGCAACUGACGCUGAGGAGCGAAAGCAUGGGGAGCGAACAGGAUUAGAUACCCUGGUAUGCCAUGGCGUAAACGUGGGGCAGUGGGUGUGGGUCUCAUUCCACGAGUUC